UUGCUAGAUCAAGGCCAUAGCAGAAGUGAUUAUGGUGUAGCCCUGCCAGAUUCAAAGAAUCUGCAAAUUCAGCU
rnacentral:ribozyme from 1 species